rnacentral:rRNA from 1 species
CACGUAGGGCGCAAGCGUUGUCCGGAAUUAUUGGGGCGUAAAGAGCUCGUAGGUGGUUUGUUACGUCUGCUGUGAAAAACCUAGGGCUUAACCCCUGGGCUUGCAGUGGAUACGGGGCAGACUAGAGGUAGGUAGGGGGAGAAUGGAAAUUCCUGGUGUAGCGGUGAAAAUGCGCAGAUAUCAGGAGGGAAACACCCGGGUGGGCGAAAGGGCGGGUUUCUCUGGGGCCCUUACCCUGACACUGAGGGAGCGAAAAAGCGUGGGGGGGAGCGAAACAGG